UGCUCCUCAAGCCGAUAUGCUAACCGGAGCUGGUUAGCUGAAUGCUCCAUGAGUAAUUCGUUUUUUGUUCCCCCUGUCUGUUUUCCAAAGUCCUGGGACGGAAACUCUCUGGACUACAACGGGGUGAGGGAUCUACAGAGCUUCAGACAAGUGUAAAGCACGAAUCUUGCCGCAGUUAUCUAGCUAAGAACAUGGAGCUAACUCGCUAACAGCAUGAAGCUAACCCUGUUUGCAGACCGAACUGGCAUCGAAAACACAACGAAGAAGUUCUGAAAAACAGACACAUUCCCUCCAGAAUAAUGGAAACAGGCUGGUUACAGACAUGAUUGACUUUAACCAGAGUUAUUAAGAAGUUUGACCACUUUAAAGAGAGGAGGCUACUUUUCUUUACAUAUAGUGGGUCUACUCUGUCAAACAGUUAGAAAUGUAUUCUGUCAUUUCUUGUUUUCAAUGUAUUGUAUUUUAUUUUUGUUUGUUGUUCAACGAUAUUAUUGAGUGUUUGUGAAUUUUAUUUUAAUGAGCUAUUUUUAUUUAGCGUUAUUUUUAAAAAUCUGUUUCCUGCGGAAAUUGCUUUCCAUCUGUUGCACUUCCUGCUCCUGAGUCCGUCUUUCCGUCACAAUGGUUUUAUAUUGCCGAGGAAUAAAUAAGUGCUGGGAAAAUCCACCAUCUGAGCCGACUUCUUCCAUGCCCGUUCCACAUCAGUUACAUCUGCUCUGAACCUCUUUCAUGUGAGGGUGAAACUCUUUUAUUUUGCAAACCUCUGAAACCCAACCCAAUGUUCCUUAAAGCUGCUCUGAACCUCUCAUGCUAAAGUUACAGUGUGUUGAUAGUUGUUGUUGGACAGUGUUGAGCACGCUGUGUUCUUGAAAUAAAGCUUUGUUUUUUACAAUA